GCCGGGCGUGGUGGCGGACGCCUGUAGUCCCAGCUACUCGGGAGGCUGAGGCAGGAGAAUGGCGUGAACCCGGGAGGCGGAGAUUGCAGUGAGCCGAGAUCGCGUCACUGCACUCCAGCCUGGGAGACAGAGCGAGACUCCGUCUCAAAAAAUAAUAAAUAAAAAUAAAACUUUUUUUGUUUGUUUUGUUUUGUUUGAGACAGAGUCUCACUCUGUCGCCCAGGCUGGAGUGCAGUGGUGCAAUCUCGGCUCAGUGCAAGCUCCGCCUCCCGGGUUCACGCCAUUCUCCUGCCUCAG
rnacentral:SRP_RNA from 1 species